rnacentral:lncRNA from 1 species
CAAAUGAGCUCCUAAUGGUGCUAUCAUUUUCCUAGAUGAGGUAAUGUUAGUGCUGUAUGUUCACAUUGUUGCUACACUUCCGUCAGUUUUUAAUCCUUUACAUAUAGGUGGUUUCUGCAUUCUGCUCUCAGUUUACAUGCAAGUUGGUGGAGAUUUCUUCAUAUUCUAACCUGACAUUUUUGUAUAAUCUUACUGCAGGUUGACUCCUUCGCUGCUGCCCGUGAUAGUGAAAUGCAUGAAGCUACACGUAGGAUUUUAUCAGUGUUACUGCGACAGGUAAAAUGUGGAUUUCACUGUUGCUGCAAUAAUUAAAUGCAUGACUUCUUAGCCUUUAUAAACAGUCAAAAAGUCCCUUUGGCAUGUAACUCGGUUGUUGCUCCAGGAUAUCAUGUCUGUCUAACAAAAUCCCUGCACAUAAUAAUCUGCACAAUGUCCUUAAAUCUGGUAUGGUGCUUCAGAAUAUCUGAAUUGACCUCUAGUGGAGUGUCGCUAAUUUUUAGUUGUUGGGGUUGUCUUUUCAACUUCGUUCCGUUUUAGCUGGAUAGUAGAGGCUGAACCCAGGAGAAGGGGGGCGGGGGUUAAUGGGGUCUGCAGGCCCUCUCCCUCCGCCAAAAUCAGUUUAGCCCCCAUCUUAAUAUUCAAAUUUUAUAUGUAGCUUCCUUUUAAUUUGCAAAAUUUACACAUAAGCCCCCUAAUAUAAAAAACUUAAUAUUAUAGCUUUUUAAUAUGCCAAUUUUACAUGUAGGUCCUCUCAAUAUAUAAAUUUAACAUAUGGACCUUCCUCUUUUAUGAAAAUAUCUACCAAAAUUUCAAGGAUAAUAUAGUAAUUAAUGAAACAUUUAGAAAUUUAUACUAAAGUAUUUUGUUAACAAGAACCAAAAAAGUAGCUGACUUUUAAGUCUUGACCUUUGCUCUCUCUCUCCAAGUUUGUGCCUGAUCUAAGUCUUUCGGCCUUUGGCCGACCUCAGGGACAUGCCUUCCCUGGGCGGCCGCAAGUUUUUUGUAGUCGAGAAGAAGUCAUUUGACUUGAUCAGUGAGGGAAGACUUGGAUGGAAUGAGAAUAUGUGAGAACGGUCAGGGUUUCCGCACAUCUAGUUCGUUAGUAAAGGCUGAGGUUGAUUGGUUGCUCAGGGCCUUGGAGGAAUUUUACUGGUUUGACUGCAAGUUGCCAUGGGCAAGACGUUUUACAGGAAAAAACAGAACACUCUGGUUGGGAAAAAUAGAAGAGGACAGUAUUUGGUGAUCUCAGAAGUGUUGGAGAAGAAGGCGAGACGCAUUUUUAUUCCGGAAGGGUAUCAAGGCAGAGGCUGGUUUGUUGUUUAUGGUACCUGCUUUUGACUUGACGGACAGGAAAGUAGUGAACCCUGACCCCGGGAGAGGAUGGGAAAGAAGAUGGAGGAUGUUCAUCGCGUAGCCGGGGGUUGCGUGGGACCGUGGGUAGCAUCUUUCAAUUGCCCACAUUGUGCUGUUGUUAUUCACUUCUCUUUGGGAGCGGGUGGAGUCAAUAGCU